AAUGGGUCAGCGACUUAUAUUCUGUAGCAAGGUUAACCGAAUAGGGGAGCCGAAGGGAAACCGAGUCUUAACUGGGCGUUAAGUUGCAGGGUAUAGACCCGAAACCCGGUGAUCUAGCCAUGGGCAGGUUGAAGGUUGGGUAACACUAACUGGAGGACCGAACCGACUAAUGUUGAAAAAUUAGCGGAUGACUUGUGGCUGGGGGUGAAAGGCCAAUCAAACCGGGAGAUAGCUGGUUCUCCCCGAAAGCUAUUUAGGUAGCGCCUCGUGAACUCAUCUCCGGGGGUAGAGCACUGUUUCGGCAAGGGGGUCAUCCCGACUUACCAACCCGAUGCAAACUGCGAAUACCGGAGAAUGUUAUCACGGGAGACACACGGCGGGUGCUAACGUCCGUCGUGAAGAGGGAAACAACCCAGACCGCCAGCUAAGGUCCCAAAGUCAUGGUUAAGUGGGAAACGAUGUGGGAAGGCCCAGACAGCCAGGAUGUUGGCUUAGAAGCAGCCAUCAUUUAAAGAAAGCGUAAUAGCUCACUGGUCGAGUCGGCCUGCGCGGAAGAUGUAACGGGGCUAAACCAUGCACCGAAGCUGCGGCAGCGACGCUUAUGCGUUGUUGGGUAGGGGAGCGUUCUGUAAGCCUGUGAAGGUGUGCUGUGAGGCAUGCUGGAGGUAUCAGAAGUGCGAAUGCUGACAUAAGUAACGAUAAAGCGGGUGAAAAGCCCGCUCGCCGGAAGACCAAGGGUUCCUGUCCAACGUUAAUCGGGGCAGGGUGAGUCGACCCCUAAGGCGAGGCCGAAAGGCGUAGUCGAUGGGAAACAGGUUAAUAUUCCUGUACUUGGUGUUACUGCGAAGGGGGGACGGAGAAGGCUAUGUUGGCCGGGCGACGGUUGUCCCGGUUUAAGCGUGUAGGCUGGUUUUCCAGGCAAAUCCGGAAAAUCAAGGCUGAGGCGUG
rnacentral:rRNA from 1 species